rnacentral:rRNA from 1 species
UACGUAGGGUGCAAGCGUUAAUCGGAAUUACUGGGCGUAAAGCGUGCGCAGGCGGUGAUGUAAGACAGGUGUGAAAUCCCCGGGCUUAACCUGGGAACUGCAUUUGUGACUGCAUCGCUGGAGUGCGGCAGAGGGGGAUGGAAUUCCGCGUGUAGCAGUGAAAUGCGUAGAUAUGCGGAGGAACACCGAUGGCGAAGGCAAUCCCCUGGGCCUGCACUGACGCUGAGGCGCGAAAGCUAGGGGAGCAAACGGG